GCUAGAAGUGGUGGUGCAUGUGUGCUACUGAGGAAGAUGAGGCUAGUAGAUUGCUUAAAUUCAUGAGUUCUGAGCCACAGUGUGCUAAGAUGAUCAGUUGUCCUCACUAAGUACAACACCAACAUGGUCCCUUACAGGGAACCAGGAUGUCUAUGGAGAGGUGAACUGGCCCAGGUUGGAAACACAGCAGUUCAAAGCUCUUGUGUUGAUCUGUAGUGGGAGUGGGCCUACGAGUAGCUGCUGCACUUCCAGACUGGGAGCCCAAGCCCUGCUCC
ensembl:misc_RNA Metazoa_SRP Metazoan signal recognition particle RNA